CUCGAGAAGAGGAUUGAGAGUCUGGAGACUCUCGGCCGAGGACUCACCCGCUGACAGAUGGUCGAACUGCUGCAGGGGUUCCCCAUAAAACGGCUGGUCGGUGGAGGCUGUCACUAACGUGCCGGUCAUCAUCACCUCUUCCAGCUUCUGAAGAAUUGAUGGAGAAGGCAUUCCUGACCGAAGAAUUGACAGAGAAGGCACAAGAACUUUUCGGAAGACACGUGACCUGGCCGUGAUUUCAAGAGACCAAAUUCUGUUGUUUUAAAAAUCUAACUGGACCUUGUAUUAAUUGGAACAGCAUACCAUUAGAAUCUUGCUUUAUUCACGAAUAGUUAGUAGUUAGAAAGAAUUUAUUCACUUUGUUAAUUGCUUAGUUAAUUUGUUCACUGUCAGAGUUAGAUAAAUAAAUUGUGACUUAUGGAUUGUAAA